rnacentral:rRNA from 1 species
GAUGAACGCUGGCGGCGUGCCUAAUACAUGCAAGUCGAGCGAACAGACGAGGAGCUUGCUCCUUUGACGUUAGCGGCGGACGGGUGAGUAAAACGUGGGUAACCUACCUAUAAGACUGGGAUAACUUCGGGAAACCGGAGCUAAUACCGGAUAAUAUUUCGAACCGCAUGGUUCGAUAGUGAAAGAUGGCUUUGCUAUCACUUAUAGAUGGACCUGCGCCGUAUUAGCUAGUUGGUAAGGUAACGGCUUACCAAGGCAACGAUACGUAGCCGACCUGAGAGGGUGAUCGGCCACACUGGAACUGAGACACGGUCCAGACUCCUACGGGAGGCAGCAGUAGGGAAUCUUCCGCAAUGGGCGAAAGCCUGACGGAGCAACGCCGCGUAAGUGAUGAAGGUCUUCGGAUCGUAAAACUCUGUUAUUAGGGAAGAACAAACGUGUAAGUAACUGUGCACGUCUUGACGGUACCUAAUCAGAAAGCCACGGCUAACUACGUG